rnacentral:rRNA from 1 species
AUGAACGCUGGCGGCGUGCCUAAUACAUGCAAGUCGAACGAGCCACUUCGGUGGCUAGUGGCGAACGGGUGAGUAAUACAUAAAUAACCUGCCCUUACGACUGGGAUAACGUUUGGAAACGAACGCUAAUACCGGAUAGGUAAAACCAAGGCAUCUUGGAUUUAUUAAAGUUGGGACACAACACGAAAGGAUGGAUUUAUGACGCAUUAGCUAGUUGGUGAGGUAACGGCCCACCAAGGCGAUGAUGCGUAGCCGAUCUGAGAGGAUGAACGGCCACAUUGGGACUGAGACACGGCCCAGACUCCUACGGGAGGCAGCAGUAGGGAAUUUUCGGCAAUGGGGGAAACCCUGACCGAGCAACGCCGCGUGAACGAAGAAGGUUUUUGGAUCGCAGAGUUCUGUUGUAGGGGAAGAAAGCACUGGAUAGGGAAUGAUCUGGUGUUGACGGUACCCUACCAGAAAGCCACGGCUAACUACGUGCCAGCAGCCGCGGUAAUACGUAGGUGGCGAGCGUUAUCCGGAUUUAUUGGGCGUAAAGGGUGCGUAGGCGGCUGAUUAAGUUUGUGGUGAAAGCGUGGGGCUCAACCCCAUAAAGCCACAAAAACUGGUUAGCUAGAGUGCAGUAGAGGCAAGUGGAAUUCCAUGUGUAGCGGUAAAAUGCAUAGAUAUAUGGAGGAACACCAGUGGCGAAGGCGGCUUGCUGGGCUGUAACUGACGCUAAGGCACGAAAGCGUGGGGAGCAAAUAGGAUUAGAUACCCUAGUAGUCCACGCUGUAAACGAUGAAUACUAAGUAUUGGGGAAACUCAGUGCUGCAGCUAACGCAAUAAGUAUUCCGCCUGAGUAGUACGUUCGCAAGAAUGAAACUCAAAGGAAUUGACGGGGACCCGCACAAGCGGUGGAUUAUGUGGUUUAAUUCGAUGCAACGCGAAGAACCUUACCAAGCCUUGACAUACUCAGCGAAGUCUUAGAGAUAAGAUGGAGGCUAUCUGGGAUACAGGUGGUGCAUGGUUGUCGUCAGCUCGUGUCGUGAGAUGUUGGGUUAAGUCCCGCAACGAGCGCAACCCCUGUCUUUAGUUACCAUCAUUCAGUUGGGGACUCUAGAGAGACUGCCGGUGACAAACCGGAGGAAGGUGGGGAUGACGUCAAAUCAGCAUGCCCCUUAUGGCUUGGGCUACACACGUAAUACAAUGGCGCAUACAAAGGGAGGCGAAAGGGCGACCUGGAGCGAAACUCAUAAAGUGCGUCUCAGUUCAGAUUAGAGUCUGCAACUCGACUCUAUGAAGUUGGAAUCGCUAGUAAUCGUGGAUCAGCACGCCACGGUGAAUACGUUCUCGGGUCUUGUACUCACCGC